AUUGAACGCUGGCGGCAGGCCUAACACAUGCAAGUCGAGCGGAUGAAGGGAGCUUGCUCCUGGAUUCAGCGGCGGACGGGUGAGUAAUGCCUAGGAAUCUGCCUGGUAGUGGGGGAUAACGUCCGGAAACGGGCGCUAAUACCGCAUACGUCCUGAGGGAGAAAGUGGGGGAUCUUCAGACCUCACGCUAUCAGAUGAGCCUAGGUCGGAUUAGCUAGUUGGUGGGGUAAAGGCCUACCAAGGCGACGAUCCGUAACUGGUCUGAGAGGAUGAUCAGUCACACUGGAACUGAGACACGGUCCAGACUCCUACGGGAGGCAGCAGUGGGGAAUAUUGGACAAUGGGCGAAAGCCUGAUCCAGCCAUGCCGCGUGUGUGAAGAAGGUCUUCGGAUUGUAAAGCACUUUAAGUUGGGAGGAAGGGCAGUAAGUUAAUACCUUGCUGUUUUGACGUUACCAACAGAAUAAGCACCGGCUAACUUCGU
rnacentral:rRNA from 1 species